ensembl:lncRNA ABCC13 ATP binding cassette subfamily C member 13 (pseudogene)
GACUGUCCGCUGCCAAGGGAAGUGACAGCCGCAGCCGGGCUCUCAGCCAGCGGCCAGGCGCCCCGCGGACCAUGCUCUCCAGUACGCAGAACGCGGGCGGCUCCUAUCAGCGGGUCCGCGGGGCGCUUGAUACACAGAAAUGCAGUCCAGAGAAAAGUGCCUCAUUUUUCAGUAAAGUGACAUAUUCCUGGUUUAGCAGAGUAAUUACUUUAGGCUAUAAGAGACCUUUGGAAAGAGAGGAUCUUUUUGAACUAAAGGAAAGUGAUUCCUUCUGCACUGCGUGUCCCAUCUUUGAAAAACAAUGGAGAAAGGAAGUUUUAAGGAAUCAAGAGAGGCAAAAAGUAAAGGUAUCUUGUUAUAAAGAGGCACAUAUCAAGAAACCAUCUCUACUCUAUGCAUUGUGGAACACCUUUAAAUCCAUCCUGAUUCAAGUUGCCUUAUUCAAAGUGUUUGCUGAUAUUUUGUCCUUCACUAGCCCACUCAUAAUGAAGCAAAUUAUCAUUUUCUGUGAACACAGCUCAGAUUUUGGCUGGAAUGGCUAUGGCUAUGCAGUGGCACUUCUUGUUGUAGUCUUUUUGCAAACUCUGAUUCUUCAGCAAUAUCAACGUUUUAACAUGCUCACCUCAGCAAAAGUUAAGACAGCUGUAAAUGGACUGAUCUACAAAAAGGCCUUACUUUUAUCAAAUGUUUCUCGACAAAAGUUUUCCACUGGGGAAAUUAUUAACUUGAUGUCAGCAACUCAUGGACUUGACAGCAAACCUCAAUCUCCUCUGGUCUGCCCCUUUUCAAAUCCUAAUGGCCGUAUAUCUCCUUUGGCAAGAGCUGGGUCCAGCAGUGUUAGCAGGGGUGGCAGUCCUUGUGUUUGUUAUACCAAUAAAUGCUUUAGCUGCAACUAAAAUAAAAAAGUUAAAGAUCCUCAAACUUUAUGCAUGGGAACCCUCCUAUAAAAAUAAGAUUAUCAAAAUUCGAGAUCAGGAAUUGGAAUUUCAAAAAUCAGCUAGGUAUCUUACUGUAUUUUCCAUGUUGACAUUAACCUGCAUUCCAUUCUUGGUGUCCCUGGCAACCUUGUGUGUCUAUUUCUUACUGGAUGAAGGAAACAUUUUAACAGCCACUAAAGUGUUCACAUCGAUGUCUUUGUUUAAUAUUUUAAGGAUUCCUCUGUUUGAGUUACCAACCGUGAUCUCAGCUGUGGUCCAGACAAAGAUAUCCCUGGGCCGUUUGGAAGACUUUCUCAACACUGAGGAGCUUCUUCCUCAAAGUAUUGAAACGAACUAUACAGGAGAUCAUGCUAUUGGGUUUACAGAUGCUUCUUUCUCCUGGGAUAAAACAGGAAUGCCAGUUCUAAAAGAGGCUCUGUGGCUUAUGUUUCUCAGCAGGCCUGGAUUCAGAAUUGCAUUUUGCAAGAAAACAUUCUCUUUGGCUCCAUCAUGAAGAAAGAGUUUUAUGAGCAAGUAUUGGAAGCCUGUGCUCUCCUUCCAGAUUUGGAGCAGUUGCCAAAGGGAGAUCAAACUGAGAUUGGAGAAAGAGCUGUGAAUAUAAGUGGGGGCCAGCAGCAUCGAGUAAGCCUGGCCAGAGCUGUCUACAGUGGGGCCGACGUCUACCUCCUGGAUGAUCCCUUGUCUGCUAUUGAUGUUCAUGUUGGAAAGCAGCUUUUUGAAAAAGUGAUAGGGUCCUUGGGCCUUUUGAAAAACCGGGUAGCCAUAGUUUCAUUUAUGCUUUCUUGUGGGGCAGGGGAUAUAUCUAGCACUGUGCCUAAAAUUCCAUUUAUUUUGUUUAUUUGUUGAAGCAAAGUAGUCACAUUUCACAUGAAAAAAAUGGGAUGCUCAGAUUGCAAUUUCACAGGCAAAUGUCAAUGGGUAAUUUUUGAAGUUUUACUUACAAGUUUACUCUGGUGACAAUUUAUGUGAUUGUUAUCUCUUCAUCUAAUACCAUAUCCUAAGGGGAUGUAUGUGCCAUAAUGAAUUGUUGUUGACUCAAGUGAUUUUUACAAUGGUAUUUUGGUGCACACCAAAAUAUUAAUAAAAUUUUAUAUUAUUAACAUAGCAAUUUGACAUUAUUAUCACAGCAAUCAUAGUGAUUCAGCUGUUUUGUUAAAGGGCCAAGAAGAUGAAAAUUAGUGUUUACCAGUACAUGCCAUAUUUCACAGGGUAAAUUAGUUCAAUCCCUAUUUCACACAUAAAGGAGCUCAGGGCUCACAAUGACUUGAUAUAGGUUGCUCAACUUAAGAACAAUAGAGAUUUUUAAAAGUAUGUCUGACUCCAAAGCCACAUUCUUCAUAAUAUGUGUUUAUGGAAUUAUUAAUAUAGAGAACUUUGAAAAUAUAUGUAUAAAAUUAUAAAAUAUAUGUCUCAGUAAAAAUAAACAAACAUCUUUAUAUAUUGACAUAAACCCAAGAUUAAAAAUGUCACACUUAAUUGUAUGUAUAUGUAUAAAAUAAUAUGAAUGAUUUAAAAAUAAGGACUAUGAAUUAUGACUUGGAUUAAACACUUUUUUGUAAUGGUACUGUAUAUUUAAAAAUAAGCAAGAAUGACAUAUAUGAAAUUGUUUUAAAUUUGCAAUUAAAUUGAUUCAUUUCUAAUGAACGAAAAAAUACCCGAACUAAAGUGUUAAAAAUCACAUUUAGAAACUAUUUUCUCAUCUAGCAGCAUGUCAUUAUUCCUUGUAAAAUACAUAGAUGCUGCCUUAAACUGGCACCUACCAAAAA